rnacentral:rRNA from 1 species
CCUACGGGAGACAGCAGUGAGGAAUAUUGGUCAAUGGGCGGAAGCCUGAACCAGCCAAGUAGCGUGCAGGAUGACGGCCCUACGGGGUGUAAACUGCUUUUAUACGGGAAUAACGCGCCUUACGUGUAGGGCUUUGCAGGGACCGUAUGAAGAAGGACCGGCUAAUUCCGUGCCAGCAGCCGCGGUAAUAAUGAAGGUCCGGGCGUUAGCCGGAGUUAUUGGGUUUAAAGGGAGCGUAGGCCGCAUGUCAAGCGUGCUGGGAAAUGGCCGGGCUCAACCCGGGCCUUGCAGCGCGAACUGGCGUGCUUGAGUCCGCGGAAAGCAGGCGGAAUUCGUCGUGUAGCGGUGAAAUGCUUAGAUAUGACGAAGAACCCCGAUUGCGAAGGCAGCUUGCUGCAGCGGAACUGACGCUGAUGCUCGAAAGCGCGGGUAUCGAACAGGAUUAGAUACCCUUGUAGUC